UACGGAGGGGGCUAGCGUUGUUCGGAAUUACUGGGCGUAAAGCGCACGUAGGCGGCUUUGCAAGUCAGAGGUGAAAGCCCGGGGCUCAACCCCGGAAUAGCCUUUGAGACUGCAUCGAUUGAACAUCGGAGAGGUAAGUGGAAUUCCGAGUGUAGAGGUGAAAUUCGUAGAUAUUCGGAAGAACACCAGUGGCGAAGGCGACUUACUGGACGAUUGUUGACGCUGAGGUGCGAAAGCGUGGGGAGCAAACAGG
rnacentral:rRNA from 1 species